CGCGGUUCAUUUCGGGUAAAUUAAUUUUACCAAACACCAAAUUUUUCAAAUGCUACACUCACAUUUUUCCUUUGACACUGCAUUCGGCUAAUAGGGCAACUCCACGCCCUUUCAUGUGCCCACUACUCUCAUCCUUGGAAUGUAUUGCGCGUUAACCGCGACAAAUUCAUAGAAAGAAAACGAAAAAUUCCUAAGCAGCAUACUUCCACCCAUACAUUUUUGGGGCUGGA
rnacentral:misc_RNA from 1 species